rnacentral:rRNA from 1 species
CCUACGGGAGGCAGCAGUGAGGAAUAUUGGUCAAUGGGCGCGAGCCUGAACCAGCCAAGUCGCGUGAGGGAAGACGGUCCUAUGGAUUGUAAACUCCUUUUAUAAAGGAAUAAAGUGAGGCACGUGUGCCUUUUUGUAUGUACUUUAUGAAUAAGGAUUGGCUAACUCCGUGCCAGCAGCCGCGGUAAUACGGAGGAUCCGAGCGUUAUCCGGAUUUAUUGGGUUUAAAGGGAGCGUAGAUGGGUUGUUAAGUCAGUUGUGAAAGUUUGCGGCUCAACCGUAAAAUUGCAAUUGAUACUGGCAGCCUUGAGUACAGUUGAGGUAGGCGGAAUUCGUGGUGUAGCGGUGAAAUGCUUAGAUAUCACGAAGAACUCCGAUUGCGAAGGCAGCUUACUAAACUGCCACUGACAUUGAUGCUCGAAAGUGUGGGUAUCAAACAGGAUUAGAUACCCUUGUAGUC